UUGAACGCUGGCGGCAGGCCUAACACAUGCAAGUCGAACGGUAACAGGAAGAAGCUUGCUUCUUUGCUGACGAGUGGCGGACGGGUGAGUAAUGUCUGGGAAACUGCCUGAUGGAGGGGGAUAACUACUGGAAACGGUGGCUAAUACCGCAUAACGUCGCAAGACCAAAGAGGGGGACCUUCGGGCCUCUUGCCAUCGGAUGUGCCCAGAUGGGAUUAGCUAGUAGGUGGGGUAACGGCUCACCUAGGCGACGAUCCCUAGCUGGUCUGAGAGGAUGACCAGCCACACUGGAACUGAGACACGGUCCAGACUCCUACGGGAGGCAGCAGUGGGGAAUAUUGCACAAUGGGCGCAAGCCUGAUGCAGCCAUGCCGCGUGUAUGAAGAAGGCCUUCGGGUUGUAAAGUACUUUCAGCGGGGAGGAAGGGAGUAAAGUUAAUACCUUUGCUCAUUGACGUUACCCGCAGAAGAAGCACCGGCUAACUCCGUGCCAGCAGCCGCGGUAAUACGGAGGGUGCAAGCGUUAAUCGGAAUUACUGGGCGUAAAGCGCACGCAGGCGGUUUGUUAAGUCAGAUGUGAAAUCCCCGGGCUCAACCUGGGAACUGCAUCUGAUACUGGCAAGCUUGAGUCUCGUAGAGGGGGGUAGAAUUCCAGGUGUAGCGGUGAAAUGCGUAGAGAUCUGGAGGAAUACCGGUGGCGAAGGCGGCCCCCUGGACGAAGACUGACGCUCAGGUGCGAAAGCGUGGGGAGCAAACAGGAUUAGAUACCCUGGUAGUCCACGCCGUAAACGAUGUCGACUUGGAGGUUGUGCCCUUGAGGCGUGGCUUCCGGAGCUAACGCGUUAAGUCGACCGCCUGGGGAGUACGGCCGCAAGGUUAAAACUCAAAUGAAUUGACGGGGGCCCGCACAAGCGGUGGAGCAUGUGGUUUAAUUCGAUGCAACGCGAAGAACCUUACCUGGUCUUGACAUCCACGGAAGUUUUCAGAGAUGAGAAUGUGCCUUCGGGAACCGUGAGACAGGUGCUGCAUGGCUGUCGUCAGCUCGUGUUGUGAAAUGUUGGGUUAAGUCCCGCAACGAGCGCAACCCUUAUCCUUUGUUGCCAGCGGUCCGGCCGGGAACUCAAAGGAGACUGCCAGUGAUAAACUGGAGGAAGGUGAGGAUGACGUCAAGUCAUCAUGGCCCUUACGACCAGGGCUACACACGUGCUACAAUGGCGCAUACAAAGAGAAGCGACCUCGCGAGAGCAAGCGGACCUCAUAAAGUGCGUCGUAGUCCGGAUUGGAGUCUGCAACUCGACUCCAUGAAGUCGGAAUCGCUAGUAAUCGUGGAUCAGAAUGCCACGGUGAAUACGUUCCCGGGCCUUGUACACACCGCCCGUCACACCAUGGGAGUGGGUUGCAAAAGAAGUAGGUAGCUUAACCUUCGGGAGGGCGCUUACCACUUUGUGAUUCAUGACUGGGGUG
rnacentral:rRNA from 1 species